UCAUUUAUCAAAUAAUUUAGAAAAAUGAAGGGCUUCACAAAGACCUUUGAGAUGAGACUGCAGUUGCUGAGGAAGCUCUGUGCCGUCCGGUGCAAACAUAGCAAUAACCAGACACGGAAUACCAAGAUGACUCAAUUAAUGUGGAUAGUUGUCCAUCAGGGUCCCCUAUAUCUGUCUCAAUGGACCUACAAUUGUCUUCAGGAACCUGGAAGGUUGAUGAUUUACUUGCCCAAAGAUGAGCAAGUCCCAGUUGCAGUUGCUCCGUUUAUUUCUGACUAUCUUAUGCUACAAUGACAAUCGACAUCUAAUGAUUAUUGGAGAAAUGCCAAGGAGAGUUCCAUUUAGAAAGGAAAUUCCCCUAAAUGACUUAUUUUCGGGAAGACCUGCGAGAUCCUUAUUAUUCCUUGGAAUAUCCUUUCAUUUCCACGUAGGAAGUUUGGAAAAGAUGCCUAAAAGAUAGGAGAUUAACGACGAAGAAAAUUUGGUGGAUAAUGCCGAUCUGAGCAGUGGAUACGGACAAUAUGUAGAACUCUAAUUAUUAACUUAACUUGAAGAACUGCUGGAUAUUUAUAAAAAUGCCGAGAAAACCCAACGUGAGUAAGGAGGAUGCUGUUGCCCUUGUAGAGGCUUUCAUCUCACAUUUCAAGACACCACAAUUACCUG